UACGUAGGGUGCGAGCGUUAAUCGGAAUUACUGGGCGGAAAGCGUGCGCAGGCGGCUUCGCAAGUCAGACGUGAAAUCCCCGGGCUUAACCUGGGAAUGGCGUUUGAAACUACGGAGCUGGAGUGUGGCAGAGGGAGGUAGAAUUCCACGUGUAGCGGUGAAAUGCGUAGAUAUGUGGAGGAAUACCGAUGGCGAAGGCAGCCUCCUGGGCCAACACUGACGCUCAUGCACGAAAGCGUGGGGAGCAAACAGG
rnacentral:rRNA from 1 species